AAAAAUCAACAUAAAAAACAUUAAAAAAAAAAACAUAAAACAGAAGCAGUAUUGUAACAAAUUUAAUAGACUUUUUAAAUGGUUCACACCAAAAAAGAAGCAAUUAAAGAGAUCAAGAAAUAAGGCAGUAUUUUGGCAGACACUGUUGGUUGCCUACCCACUGGUAUUAACCAGUCUCCCUUUUCUAGAUGCCUGCUGCCCACCUAAAUCUAAAUGCCAGACGCUUGCUCUCCUAAUUGCUUGCAACUGAGCAUAUGCGUAGUGGGCUUCCCAGGCGGUGCUAGUGGUAAAGAACCUGCCUGAAGACCCCCUGGGUAGGGCAUGGCAGCCCACUCCAGUAUUCUUGCCUGGAGAAUCCCAUGGACAGAAGAGCUUGGCGGGCUACAGUCCAUGGGGUUGCAAAGAGUCAGGACUGAAGUGACAGUACAGUACACAUACGUGUAGCAGUGCUGACCACCGAAGGUCUAAGCAAAAGACUGCAAGUGAGCUUCAGUUAAAUAUUCUUUACUUAACAAAAUAGGAGGAAAUGGUCUUCCCUUACACAGGACACAUCUCUGUGUGAUAUCUGGGAUUGUGGCUGCUUUACAACCAGACAACGCAAGAAGCCAAGACUGGCACAGGCGAUAGAAUUGCUUGUGUGUUUGACACUGUAGAGCUGAUGAAACAAUUCAGAACUGCUCUAUGCUUGGUUGUAUGUGAAAUAAAUUCCAUGCCUCUCUGUUAAACAUUUAUAUUCAACUUUGUAUAUCUGAGUACUGGGAAAAGUAUUUUCACAUAUAGUAUAUAUACAUACACAUGUUUAUUCAACUUUAAUUAGUAAAAAAAAGUAUCAGUUCAGUCGCUCACUCAGUCGUGUCCACCUCUUUGCAACCCCAUGGACUGCAGCACACCAGGCUUCCCUGUCCAUCACCAAGCCCCACAGCUUGCUCAAACUCAUAUCCAUCCAGUUGGUGAUGCCAUCCAACCUCUGUCAUCCCAUCCUCUGUCAUCCCCUUCUCCUGCCCUCAAUCUUUCCCAGCAUCAGGGUCUUUUCCAAUAAGUCAGUUCUCUGCGUCAGGUGGCCAAGGUAUUGGAGCUUUAGCACUGGUCCUUCCAAGGAAUAUUCAGGACUGAUUUCAGAUUUUUUUCAGAUAUUCAAAUAUUCAGAAUGCUUCAUAUAAAUGUUCAGAAAAUGUUUACAUUUAGCUUUUUAUAGUAUAUGUGAAAUUAUGGGGAAAACAUUAUUUUCCUAAGUAUUUUCUUAAACAUAUGUAUGUGUAUAUGUAUACAACUUUGACAAGAUGUAGGAAAUGCUUGUUUACAUUCAGCAUUUACAGUGUAUGCAUAUAUUCAGUUUUUUUAUAGUAUGUCUGAAGUCCAGGAAAAGUCGUAUUUUCCUGAAUAUAGGAAGAACCAAGAAAAAAACUGAUGAAAGCGCUACAGCAUUUUAUUCCUCUAGUACUAGAGUAACUUACAGAUAAAAUCUAACUCUUCAAGAUUUUAUAAAGAGUAUCAGCUAUGAGGCUAGCAUAACCCCUGUACCAAAUUUGGAAAAGGGCAGCAUCCAGGUCCAAUCAGCUACAAAAAUAAUCCAGUGUACUCAUGGUAUAUGAAUGUUCCAAUUAAAAUAGCAAAUCAAAUCUAGCAGCCCAUUAAAAGAAAACAGGGUGGUGGUGUUUGUUUUUUUUCUUUUAAUCUGAAAUAAAAUGGUUCAUGACCUGGCCUGUCAGAUUGUAGAAACUGUAAUGUGUAAAUGUAGUGUUUGCACAUUGAAAACUAGACACUUAACUUAUCCAUCAAAAAUAGUAAACUGUUAACAGCAAAUGAUACUCAAUUGCUAUGAGAUUGUCCAUUAAUUGUGCAUCUGUAGACAUUCACAGCAUUUGGAAUAAUCACCACCAUCAGAUUCCACCUUUGCCCAUGCUUCAGAAAUACAUACUUUGAUGUACACAUAUAUUAUGCAACAAAUUAAAUCGGUCAUAACUAAACCAGUCAACCCGUAGGAGGACAAUGUACAACAAAAAUUUAAGCAUUUUUUAAAAGAGGGAAAUGAAAAAAAAUAAAAGAGGGAAAUGAUUACUAAAUUUUAUCUAUACUUUCUCUACAAUUUCUUAUAUUGAGUUAUAAUAAAAGUUGUAAUAAAUGUUAAGAAAUGAUUGUAGACUGGUGGUUGCCCAGGGGGAGAGAGGUGAGAGUGGGUUGGAUUGGGAGUUUGGGAUUAGCGGAUACAAACUGGUAUAUACAGAAUGGAUAAACAACAAGGUCCUACUGUGUAACACAGGGUCCUACUGUGUAGCACAGGAUAUUCAAUAUCCUAUGAUAAACCAUAAUGGAAAAGAAUAUUAAAAAGUAUGAAUCACUGCUGUACAGAAAUAAACAUUGUAAAUCAACUAUACCUCAAUAAAAAAUAAUUCUGAUAUUUUGCUCAUAGCUCAGAUGGUAG
ensembl:lncRNA